GUACUUGAAUUAAGUAAACUUGCAACGUGUGAAUUUCAGCGCCUGCUGCUUAUGCAAAAAAGUAUGCGGAAUCGGCCCUUAAUCUUAAUUUUAAUUUAACACGAUCGUGUUGCAAUUGCAAGUUGCAACAUUGUGUAUAACUGAAACUAAACCUAACCAAACCAACCGUUAAGUAACCUACCAGCAAGUUUUAUCAGUACGCAACAAACGUGAAUCCGAAUCCCCACUCCUCACGUUAGCUCACGUUCAGUUGUCUUUGAUAAGAAUUAUUGAAUGAACCGAUUUUGAUUUUUCACAUUUCAUUGAUUUCAUCCCAUAAUAAGGUACCUACGUAAUUAAAAUUUGUUAUUUUAUGAAAGCUGAAAACUGAUUGAUAUAAUUUCUUCAGAAAGAUGACUGAUUUGGUUGAAACGGUGGACCUGAACCAAGUGGAGAAAGCACUCUUCAAACACAUGAACGAAUUAAGGUUGGAAAAUUUGCUUUGCGAUGUACGUUUCAACGUCAAUGGUACAAUCAUACCUUGUCAUCGAUUAGUUCUAUCUGUGCAGUAUGCAAACAUGAACGAAUAGGUAGAGAGAAGGCCAACGAACCAAAACAAGGCAUACGUAAAACGAUGCCUUGCUAGGUUCGUGACUAGAGGCGAGAAAAUAAAAAUCAUAACAAUCAACCAACAUGUUAAUUGUUAAGCCUAAAGUAGCCAUAUAAAUAUAAGCUAUUUGCUAGCUUAAGAGAUCAUUUUGUAUACCAAGUUUAGUCGUGAUUAAACUAUCCAAACUGUA